GAACCCUUCAUUGUCCAUCCUCUUAAGAAACAAUGGAUAUGGUCCUAUGUUCUCUGGAACAUCCGCUUCAUACUAGACUUAUUGCUGAAACUCAUGAUGGCUCACUUUUGUCUUAAUGACUGUCAGUCAAAUUAACCUCACAUGGAAAUGACACACCUACAACCCACAGAACUGUUCUCGGCUGCUACUUAACUGAGUCAUUUCCUCUCCCCAAAGGCACUCGGCCCUCCAUCCGAGAUCCUAACUUACAGCCUUCUGUUUCUUACAUGCAGGCUCAAUUGAAGUCAGUGAGAAUGUUACUGGUGCAGGUUCUUAUUGUGACUUCAAUUUGGUCAUAUGGAGCUGCACAAGUACAAUUGACACAAGUUCAGUUAUCCAUCACGAGGAAAACAAUGAAAACAGUAAGAAUUGACUGUAAAGUUUCUGGCAUCAGUUUUGGUGAUGCUUAUAUACACUGGUAUCGACAGAGACCUGGAGAAGCUCCGGAGUGGAUACUCUACUUUAAGUCACAAGCUGAUAAAUCAAAUUUUGACAACAACAAGUUUAGCGUUGACAAGGCAACUGAAAAAUCCACCUGUACCCUAACAGUAGACAAACUAACCUACAAUGACAUGGCUACCUAUUACUGUGCCUACUGGGAUUGCACAGUGUUAGAAAGCCAUAGACAGGCUGUGCAAUAA